rnacentral:rRNA from 1 species
UACGAAGGGGGCUAGCGUUGCUCGGAAUCACUGGGCGUAAAGGGUGCGUAGGCGGGUUUUUAAGUCAGAGGUGAAAGCCCGGAGCUCAACUCCGGAACUGCCAUUGAAACUGUGGAACUUGAGGAUGAGAGAGGUGAGUGGAAUUCCCAGUGUAGAGGUGAAAUUCGUAGAUAUUGGGAAGAACACCGGUGGCGAAGGCGGCUCACUGGCUCAUUUCUGACGCUCAGGCGCGACAGCGUGGGGAUCAAACAGG